AGUUGUACAUGUAGUUUUAAUACCAAAUUUGAAGAAUUAGGUUUUUAGUAUUUUGUGGUUCUGCUAUAGUUUUAUUUUCAAAAAAUGUCCGACGCGGAAGAUGAUUUUAUGUGUGACGAUGAAGAAGACUAUGACUUAGAAUAUUCAGAAGAUAGUAAUUCAGAGCCUGAUGUGGACUUGGAGAAUCAGUACUAUAAUUCUAAAGCUUUAAAGGAGGAUGAACCUAAAACUGCUCUGUCAAGUUUUCAAAAGGUUCUGGAUUUGGAAGGAGGUGACAAAGGAGAGUGGGGUUUCAAAGCUUUAAAACAGAUGAUAAAAAUUAACUUCAAAAUGUGCAACUACAAUGAGAUGAUGAUGCGAUACAAACAGCUUUUAACUUACAUCAAGAGUGCUGUCACUAGAAAUUAUUCUGAAAAGUCUAUCAACUCAAUUCUAGAUUACAUUUCAACCUCAAAACAGAUGGAAUUACUACAGGAGUUUUAUGAAACAACAUUAGAAGCUUUGAAAGAUGCCAAAAAUGACAGGUUGUGGUUUAAAACUAACACAAAAUUAGGGAAAUUAUAUUUUGACAGAUGCGAGUAUUUAAAGUUGUCAAAAAUAUUAAAACAGUUGCAUCAAUCCUGUCAAACAGACGAUGGAUCUGAUGACUUGAAGAAAGGCACUCAACUUCUUGAGAUUUAUGCUUUAGAGAUUCAAAUGUACACUGCUCAGAAAAACAAUAAGAAGCUAAAGAAACUCUAUGAACAGUCCCUCCACAUCAAGUCAGCCAUUCCUCACCCACUCAUUAUGGGAGUGAUUAGAGAAUGUGGUGGAAAGAUGCAUCUACGAGAAGGGGAGUACGAAAAGGCUCACACUGAUUUCUUUGAAGCUUUCAAAAAUUAUGAUGAAUCGGGUAGCCCAAGGAGAACGACAUGUCUCAAAUACUUAGUACUAGCAAACAUGUUGAUGAAAUCUGGAAUUAAUCCCUUUGACUCCCAAGAAGCCAAGCCAUAUAAAAAUGACCCAGAAAUUUUGGCAAUGACGAAUUUAGUGAGUUCUUAUCAAAAUAAUGACAUCAAAGAAUUUGAGAAAAUCCUUAAAACAAAUAGGAAAAAUAUAAUGGAUGACCCUUUUAUAAUAGAGCACAUAGAAGAUUUACUCAGAAAUAUUCGAACUCAGGUCUUAAUCAAACUAAUCACACCAUACACCAGGAUACAUAUACCCUUUAUUUCUAAGGAAUUGAAUAUUGAUGCACCAGAUGUAGAAAAUCUAUUAGUGUCUUGUAUAUUAGACAACACAAUCCAAGGUCGAAUUGAUCAGGUCAACCACAUCUUAGAACUGGACAAAAAGACACAAGGAGCAGCAAGGUAUAAUGCUUUGGAGAAGUGGACUGUCCAGUUGUCAACAUUACAUCAGACAAUUAUUAAUAAAAUGGCAUAGCUAGUUCACACAUCUCUUGUCAUUCAGGCUUAAACUUGUGUUAAGAACUAAAUGAUUUGACUCAAACCACCCCAUCCUCUAGAUGUAAACAGUGUGGUUGGUCAACAUUGCUAGAACCAAAAGGUUUGGAAAAAUGGUGGAAAAUCUCUACUCUUGCAUCACUGAAAUGAUGUUUUGAGAUCAUCCAGAAGGUCCAUUUCAUCUUUCUUAUACUUAACACAGUCUUGGAGCAGUUGGUGUUCCUGAUAGUCAUUCGUUUUUGACCCACAGCAGAAAACCAAUCAUCCUGCUGAUGAAGUGAGUUAUAAAACGUAUAGGACAAAGUAAGUAACGUAAGGCUUUUGAGAAUAUUUUACUUCACUGUGAGAGAUAGACUUCCCUUUCCUUUUCUAUUAAAAAUGUGUUUAAAAAUACCUGUUUCUGUUUUAACAAAAUAUUACUGAAAUAUAUAAAUAUGUUAGAACAUAUGCGGCAAUAGAAGUAGCACUGCUACUCCUAGGACGUCAAUUAUGACUAGGAAGAGUACCGAACUUCUACCAAGGAUAAAUGCCACCUUUAAAAGAAAUCAUAUUUCAUGUUUGUUGUAUUUUAUGUUUUCUCAGGUUAGUGUUUGAAAAAAAGGAAACGAACUAUCAUUAACGUUGUUCAGAUAACAAUAAGAUAUGCAAACGCGUCCUGAAGUAUAUAUUUGUAUAAAAUAUCAGAACUAAAAAUUAUGUAUAUAUAAGUUUACAAAAAUGCAAGUGAUUAUGUGAAAUCGUUUUACAACAUUGAAUACUGUUUAAAAUUUAAAUCUCCAACAUGCCUAUAGAAACGAGGUAUGUUGAAAAAUAUUAAUAAUUCAGCUAUUAACAUGCAUAGUGGUUUUACCCAGUCUUGUGUAUUCUGAAUGUACCACUCGUUAAUCUAAAGAAAGUGUGUUUUAGAAGCUUCUAUUGCAAAAUAUCGUUUAAAAAAGUUUUAAAAACUGAGUUUUCCAUAUUUUACUAGAAAUAAUAAAGCGUUCCAAUACUAGAAAUCAUUGAUGUAUUACACGAGAAUGAUAAAAUAAAGAAGGUAUAUAGUUAGACAAAUUCUUAGCCUGAAAAACUGAGUCGUAGUUAUGGCUUACACUAACAUAAUGCUUAUAAGAUUCCAGUAAUCGAUACAAUUACUCGUACCUUUGGUGGCAACGAAUCAUAUUUUGUAAGGUUAUAAAUGUAUAAUACAUUCGUAUAUCUUAGGUGUUGGUUUUGUUUCUUAGUAUAUAAAAGCACUGAUGUGUUCUGUCUUGAAAUUAGCAGUUCAUCAUUUCUUAUAAGCAUUUUGUGUGGCUAAAUUCGGUAUUUAUUUUAUUUAAGAAAUUAACAUGCCAUAGAAAGUUUUCUGAAAAUUAUAGGAUAUAAAUAAAGUUUGAUUGAU
rnacentral:misc_RNA from 1 species